rnacentral:lncRNA from 1 species
GAGCAGGGGUGAUGAUGUAGCUGACCUAUCAUGGAGGAGCAGGGGUGAUGAUGUAGCUGACCUAUCAUGGAUGAGCAGGAUGAUGAUGUAGCUGGCCUAUCAUGGAGGAGCAUGGGUGAUGAUGUAGCUGACCUAUCAUGGAUGAGCAGAAUGAUGUAGCUGACCUAUCAUGGACGAGCAGAGGUGAUGUUGUAGCUGACCUAUCAUGGAGGAGCAGGGGUGAUGAUGUAGCUGACCUAUCAUGGAGGAGCAGGGGUGAUGAUGUAGCUGACCUAUCAUGGAGGAGCAGGGGUGAUGAUGUAGCUGACCUUUGAUGGAGGAGCAGGGGUGAUGAUGUAGCUGACCUAUCAUGUAUGAGCAGGAUGUUGAUGUAGCUGGCCUAUCAUGGAGGAGCAUGGGUGAUGUUGUAGCUGACCUAUCAUGGAGGAGCAGGGGUGAUGAUGUAGCUGACCUAUCAUGAAGGAGCAGGAUGAUGAUGUAGCUGACCUAUCAUGGAGGAGCAGGAUGAUGUAGCUGACCUAUCAGGGAGGAGCAGGAGUGAUGAUGUAGCUGACCUAUAAUGGAGGAGCAGAAUGAUGUAGCUUACCUAUCAUGGAGGAGCAGGGGUGAUGAUGUCGCUGACCUAACAUGGAGGAGCAGGGGUGAUGAUGUAGCUGACCUAUCAUGGAGGAUCAGGGUGAUGAUGUAGCUGACCUAUCAUGGAGGAGCAGGGGUGAUGAUGCAACUGACCUAUCAUGGAGGAGCAGGGGUGAUGAUGUAGCUGACCUAUCAUGGAGAAGCAGGGGUGAUGAUGUAGCUGACCUUUCUUGGAGGAGCAGGGGUGACGAUGUAGCUGACCUAUCAUGGAGAAGCAGGGUGAUGAUGUAGCUGACCUAUCAUGGAGGAGCAGGCUUAUGAUGUAGCUGACAUAUCAUGGAGGAGCAGGAUGAUGAUGUAGCUGAUCUAUCAUGGAGGAGCAGGAUGAUGUAGUUGACCUAUCAUGGAGGACCAGGGGUGAUGAUGUAGCUGACCUAUCAUGGAGGAGCAGAAUGAUGUAGCUGACCUAUCAUUGAGGAGCAGGGGUGAUGAUGUAGCUGACCUAUCAUGGAGGAGCAGGAUAAUGAUGUAGCUGACAUGUCAUGGAGGAACAGGGGUGAUGAUGUAGCUGACCUAUCAUGGAGGAACAGGGGUGAUGAUGUAGCUGACCUAUCAUGGAGGAGCAGGGGUGAUGAUGUAGCUGACCUAUCAUGGAGGAGCAGGAGUGAUGAUGUAGCUGACCUAUCAUGGAGGAGCAGGAUGAUGUAGCUGACCUAUCAGGGAGGAGCUGGAGUGAAGAUGUAGCUGACCUAUCAUGGAGGAGCAGGAGUGAUGAUGUAGCUGACCUAUCAUGGAGGAGCAGGGGUGAUGAUGUAGCUGACCUAUCAUGGAGGAGCAGGGGUGAUGAUGUAGCUGACCUAUCAUGGAGGAGCAGGGAUGAUGAUGUAGCUGACCUAUCAUGGAGGAGCAGGGGUGAUGAUGUAGCUGACCUAUCAUGGAGGAGCAGGGUGAUGAUGUAGCUGACCUAUCAUGGAGGAG